rnacentral:rRNA from 1 species
AUACUUAGGAAUCUGGCUAUUAGUGGGGGACAACAUUUCGAAAGGGAUGCUAAUACCGCAUACGUCCUACGGGAGAAAGCAGGGAUCUUCGGACCUUGCGCUAAUAGAUGAGCCUAAGUCGGAUUAGCUAGUUGGUGGGGUAAAGGCCUACCAAGGCGACGAUCUGUAGCGGGUCUGAGAGGAUGAUCCGCCACACUGGGACUGAGACACGGCCCAGACUCCUACGGGAGGCAGCAGUGGGGAAUAUUGGACAAUGGGGGGAACCCUGAUCCAGCCAUGCCGCGUGUGUGAAGAAGGCCUUAUGGUUGUAAAGCACUUUAAGCGAGGAGGAGGGUACUGGUAUUAAUACUACCAGGUACUGGACGUUACUCGCAGAAUAAGCACCGGCUAACUCUGUGCCAGCAGCCGCGGUAAUACAGAGGGUGCGAGCGUUAAUCGGAUUUACUGGGCGUAAAGCGUGCGUAGGCGGCUAAUUGAGUCGGAUGUGAAAUCCCCGAGCUUAACUUGGGAAUUGCAUUCGAUACUGGUUAGCUAGAGUGUGGGAGAGGAUGGUAGAAUUCCAGGUGUAGCGGUGAAAUGCGUAGAGAUCUGGAGGAAUACCGAUGGCGAAGGCAGCCAUCUGGCCUAACACUGACGCUGAGGUACGAAAGCAUGGGGAGCAAACAGGAUUAG